GGGAGAGAUGGGGGCCGCCAAGAUCCAAAUGUUAUCGGGCGAAGUCACGCCUUUCUAUAGCUACCCUUGGAAUAGUAGAUGCAUGCACCUUGUAUCAAUAGAAACCUUGGCAUUCUUGGCCUGUCGUGCCAAUGAUUGUUCUACUUUCAGAGUUGGGGUUUGCAAGGAAGGUUGGUACUAUCGCUGCAUUGGAGUUGAUUCUUAGACAUUUGCUGUGUUCUGUUUGCUCUGCUCUCCUCUCCUUUGUCUUGAUUUGCACUUUCUAGCAUUUACAGUGUUGACAUGAGCCUGUUUGUUGUGAGGAGGCACAGCUAUCAGGAGGAGCCGUAUCAUUAUCAUCGUAACUAUUUAGUGAGGUUUUCUGACCUAAAAAUGGUGAAGUAGGGAAUGUCAAAACUGAGCUCUUUGGUCUCUGUUUCAAGCACGACAAACCCUAACCUAAAGAAAUCCAGCCCUACAAAGAGGGAUUUUAAGAAUAAAACGACAAACCCUAAAAGAUUUCCUCAGUUGAAAUCAUUGCCCAACGUUCCACCUGGAGCCCCAUCUGUAAGUAGGACUGCUCGUCAAUUCCCCAAGUCGUCGUUGGCUUCCAUGUUUAAAAAGAAUCAGGGACACGUUCCAAUCUUCCCACGCAUCUUUGGCCAUGAGGCAACAAGGAUUAUUCAAAGUGUUGGAGAAGGUGUAAUUGAUCGACGUGAGGAUGAUUGUGUGCUUACCUUUUUCACCAGGGAGUGCAAGGAGUGUAUGCAUUCUAAAUCUGACAAAAGAAACAUGUCUGAAACAUUAAGAAUGGUAAGAAAAGGUGUCAUGCAUGGUGAUCAGAAAACCCAUUUUUCUGUAAAUGGCAAGCCUAUCUCUCACUUUUGUGCAGUUUCAAGCUUUAGCGAGUACGCUGUUGUGCACUCUGGGUACAUUGUUAAACUGAGCUCGUAUGUUCCCUUUGGAAAAAUAUGUGUCCUCGGCUGUGGCAUUGCAACAGAUAAUUCUCCAAUAGGGCACGAUAUACAGGCUGUUGGAAGAAGCCCACACAAGAUGAUUGAAGCUGCAAUGCAAUCAACUGCAAAGGGAAAGAUCCAAACAAUUAGGCAAGCUUACCUUUCCAAGUAUUCUUCAAAUUUAAGGGGUGACUGGAAGAGAAGAUUAUUUGUUCUUGAUAGCCGUGGAAUGUUGUAUUAUUACCGCAAACAAGACUAGCAAGCAAAUGGGCCUGUGAUGAAUGAAUAUACCAUUGCUUUGUGAGAAAUUGGGACAUUUAAAGAACUUUUUCACUCCCAGAUAUAUUGGAAAGCAUCAACGAGUAUAUUGAUGAUGCUGAAAUGAUGGAUGAAAUGACUACUAGGAGCUGUUGUGAAUUGAAACACCGGCCUGUAUGAUUUUGAUUUGUUUGGAAUUGUUUUUCAGGAUUUCUUUAUUGAAUAAUAUGCUAUAGCUUACUUCCAAGGCUGGAAAGAGUAGGUUUUAGAAUCCAUUUUAAGCGUUUGAUGAAAUUUAGUUAGCAAGAGGGCAGUUUGAAUUUGUGGACUGAUGACUUACACCUGUUUUGCAUUGAACAGGGUCACACUGAGGAUUAGAAUCAGACCAUGUAGGUGCCAAUUAAAAAACAUAAAUGUAUUAUUCAAAAUUUCGGUACAUUCUCUUUGUGUUGCUAGAGCUAUAUAGAUAUUCAAGGAAUUGAAAAGUUGAUCAAUACAAAAACACAAAAUGGUUGGCAAUGGUAACAUGUUCACAACCAUUAUUUAGACUUAAAACUCAUUGCUAAACCAAAGGGUGUUUUGAGACCCAAGAUUCUGAAUGAUAAAAUUAUUCUUAAAGGAUGCUAGCUCAACGGAAGAGUACCUGCUUUACAAGCAAGAGGAUGGUGGUUCAAUUCCAUCGUGCCCUA